rnacentral:lncRNA from 1 species
UACAAAUAAUGUCUCCAAAGUUUCAAAGCGAAGAUCACCGCCGCCAAUUCCAAAUCAUGUAUGGGGUAGUUCUUCUCGUAGCUCUUCAACUGACGGGAUGCAUAAGCAAUCACCCUCCCGCCUUGCAUCAGCACACACCCCAAACCCAGAUAGGACGCGUCGCUAAAAACGACAUAAUCCUCACCCUGCACCGGUAAGGCGAGUACCGGAGUCGAAGUUAACCUCUCCUUCAGCUCUUGGAAACUCCGAUCGCACUCGUCGCUCCAAACGAAUCUGGUGCCCUUCUGCGUCAGACGGGUGAGUGGAGUCACGAUCUUCGAGAAUCCCUCCACAAACCGUCGAUAAUAACCCGCUAGGCCCACAAAGCUUCGGACCUCCGUGACAUUCGUCGGGCGUGGCCAACUCUCAAUAGCCUCUACCUUCCUCGGGUCAACAGAUACACCGUGUGACGCCCUAAUUUCCCAGGGGGUCACCCAUCCUAGGACUACUCCCGUCCUAGCACGCUUAACUCUCUUAACCUCUUGGGCCUUGCCACCACCCAAAAUGCUUAAGCCGGUUAAGAGUUUAGCUCUAUAAUAUCACAUAUAUAGGACUAUCUGGGGUCUCACACACCGCCCUCGGAAAUAACAUGCCCGAGAAAAGCAACUUCUCGGAGCCAGAAGUCACACUUCUUCAACUUCGCGUACAACUUCUUCUCCCGAAGGAUUUGAAGUACAAUGCGUAAAUGCUCCGCAUGCUCCUCUUCAUUGCGUGAAUAGACCAAGAUGUCGUCUAUGAAGACUACGACAAAUCGAUCUAGACACUCCCUGAACACUCGGUUCAUCAAGCUCAUGAACGCAGCCGGGGCAUUCGUAAGCCCAAACGGCAUCACGGUGAACUCGUAGUGUCCAUACCGCGUACGGAAUGCCGUCUUCGGAACAUCCUUCGGCUUAAACUUCAAUUGAUGGUAGCCGGAUUGAAGGUCAAUCUUUGAGUACACUCGCGACCCCUGUAGCUGAUCAAACAAGUCGUCGAUGCGGGGUAACGGGUACUUGUUCUUCACCGUGACCUUAUUCAACUCACGAUAAUCCACGCAGAGUCGGAAAGAUCCAUCCUUCUUGCGCACGAACAACACCGGGGCUCCCCACGGCGACACACUCGGCGUAAUAAAUCCCUUGUCAAGAAGAUCUUGCAAUUGAUCUCUCAACUCUCUCAGCUCGGCCGGCGCCAUGCGAUAAGGGGCCUUUGAUAUCGGCGCGGUCCCGGGAAUCAAGUCUAUCAUGAACUCAAUCUCCCGGUCCGGCGGCAUCCCGGGUAACUCUGCGGGAAAUACAUCUGGGAACUCCCGCACAACUGCCAACUCCUCGAGAGUCGGAACAACUCGACCAACUUCCACAACGGUCGCUAGAUAAGCCGUGCAACCGUCGUUCACUAGCUUCCUCGCUCUCGUCGCCGACACCGUCGCGGCGAAACACGAACUCUUGCAAGCUCAAUACGUGACCUCCUCGUGUCCCGGCUCCCGAAAUGUGAUCACUCUGGUCUUGCAAUCAAUGGACACAUAAUACUUCGAGAGCCAGUCCAUGCCCAGUAUCACAUCAAACUCCUUUAAUCUUUUGAGCACCAAUAGAUCGACCGGCAUAACCCAGUCGCCUACUUGUACUGGGCACGCCAAACACCGCUUCCUAACAAUAAACGCUCGUCCGGGUCCUUCUACAUGCCAAAUGUUUUCCCCUAGACGAAUUUCGAUACCAUGCUCUUGUGCGAAUGACCAGUUAAUAAACGAGUGAGACGCACUAGUAUCAAAAAGAGCUCUUGCUCGAACACCAUUUACCAAAAUCAUACCUGCCACCACAUUGCGCUACUCGGCUUCGGUGGGCUCCUCGACUUGUACUUGGGCGGCAUACAUCCGCCCGCUCGUAGCCGAUCGGGCUGGUUCAGGUUGGCGUGGCGCCGCCGCUCACCCAGCUGACGCCCCAGCAGGUGGAACUCCAUAGCGAGCCGGAAUCGCCGGGGCCGAUGCGACAGAUGGAGCAGGUGAAGCCCCUCCUUGAGGACAGUCGCGUGCGAUGUGCCCUGCUUGCCCGCACCUAAAGCAUUUUCCUCGGCGCUGAUCACACAUACUGGGUCGGUGGUCACCGCCACAAAAGAUACACCGCUGCGCUCCGCGGCCCUUGGGUUGCGAUCGGGGAUACUUCGGGGGCCUUCUUGAACUCGAUUGUCCACCCGAACCACCGCCUGGUCGCUUCCUCCCUUUAUCCUUCUCAAACGUCUCACGGUCCUCACGCUCGCAGGCGUUCCCGUGUUUGACCCACAAGGCACGGUCUAAGGCCUCCGCGAAAGUAUGAAACUUGAAGGCAUGCACCGUCCUAAACACUCCGGGUCGGAGCCCUCUUACGAAGCAAUCUGCUCGAUCUUGCUCCGUUACCGCGACGUCCGGGACGCAGUUCAAAAGAUGAGUGAACUCCCGCUCGUACUCCCGAAUCGUCCGGUUGCCUUGCUUCAGCUUCCUGAAGUCUUCCCGCAUCUUUCUCUUAUCGCUGUCAGGGAAGUACUCCGCAAACAUCAAUCUUCGGAACUCCUCCCAAUCGAUCGGGGAAAGAUCCGACGAUCGGUCCUGCUUCACUCUUUUCCACCACACCCUGGCCCGCUUGUCAAAACAGUGAGCGGCCAGAUUCACCUUGUCCCGCUCCUCGGUGUAGAUGUCCUCGAACAACGUCUCCAUGGCGGCUAACCACGUCUCCACCGUCCAUGGGUCAAUCACCUCUCCGUCGAACGUGGGCGGAUGGAAUUUCGUGAACCUUGUGAGAGCCGUGUAUCCACGCUCUCGCUCCACCUCCUCAGCCGCUACUCUGGGCGUAGGGGAACUAGACACCGCAGGAGGAAUAUCCACCGGUGGGGGUUGCGCCGCCACCGGAACCGGCGCAUCGCACGCACCCUCAGCCGCAUUGGGAGCGCGGACUGAAGGCGCAGGCGGAUCAUGGCCUUGACCAACCGCCGCGGCCGCUGCCUGUCGCUCCAACAACUCCUGGAGCCGAUCGAACCGUCCUGUUAGCGCCGCAACUUGCGCUCGCAAUUCUUGUACCUCGCUAGGCCCAGCCGGCUCUGGCGCCACCGGGGGCACAACUGGCUCGGGCACCUCUGGAGGUGGUGCCGGAGCAGUCCUACACACGUAGCGUCCCUUCGGUGCCAUAAGCUCCUGAAACGCACACAGUCGGUUAAUUAUUCAACCCAACCACGUCUUCGCAAUUACGGAACGAUAUUGCUCAACUACGUUAAUCAGACGGAAGCUCAUGAGUGUACUCAUUCUUGACUCCCGGCAUCGUGUUGUCGGCCGCCAACACAACCGCCUUAAGCCAAGAACUAGUAUCACUCAAUUCAUCUCUAGCAAUUACUAGAGUAUCAACACCAACUUCGACCCAAUCGAUCAACUUCCGCCGCGUCAUAGGUUCACGUCGCACUCACGCACCUAUAACCUUAUGGUUUACCGUCCUAGAGUCUCCUAGGUCAGUCAUAGACUCUCUCUUUUGCUUGCUCUUACUAUCGCUCUGAUACCACAACUGUCACGCCCCCGACCGCACUACUCGAAAACGGUACCGAUUUGGUCCGGUUCGAGGGCGGCGGGCGUGAGGCCGAACGGACAGCACCUCCCCUGUCCGCCCAAGGCUCAAGAGACAAGAUUGUGUACAACAAGUUCCCAGGAAGCACUUGGAUAUACAUACACAAUCAAACGAUAACAACGAAAGCACAACCAGUGCCUAUCAACCAAGAGCAAGCAACACAAGUAAAGCAUACAAGUGAUAAGAGAGAGAGAUGUACUUAACUGCUAAACUCACUUUAUACAACCAUUCAUCUUUUACAUUCUUCCAAGAUAUAUGCACAAUGUAUACAAUCCUCUCAAAACCUCACCCUAUACAUCAAUCUACUCUCAAAAUAAGUAAAGGGUGUAACUAAGGCAUAAAGGGAAGUAAACCUCUGCUAGUAUCGCUAGGGCGCUAUGCCCUUGCCGCGAUCCUCACCGGGGGCGCUCGAGCUCGGACCUGUAACAUGGUGGAGUGAGAACUACGAAUAGUUCCCAGUGGGUUCGGCCGCCGACUCCGCCGAUCUCCCCACUAGGUCUAAGCAGGCACAGAUAGAUAUACAGAUAGAUAGAUAUAUGAAAUCAAAAGCAUCUUCAGUAAUAAGCAUCUAUAAACUAGAAUCUAUCAAUGCCUCAAUCUAAUGUAAUGCAUGCAUGGAACUAAUAGUAAGAUGGCCAGCUAUCAACUACUAUGUUCAAUAAUUGAAUCAUUCAUCUGGUUACCCAAUCUCUCGGCGAACACAAGGCUCGCACACUGUCUCACGUGUAUCAAUCUCCUAGGGAGGUGGCUAGCUCUUCACCUACCCCGAGACCGCCUGCGGACACUACACUGGUCCAAGGGCACUACACUGGCCCCCUCGCGUGCCAAACUCCGGACUGCACUACCUGUGAGGCGCUACCACCACAGGUGCAGAUAGGCUAAGUGAGCUCGAUCCAAUCUCAUGAACUGGGAACACCCUAACCAACUAGGAUUGGUGUCACUGAAGAAUCAGGUGUUCAUCUGCUCAAUCUCAUAGUGUCUCAACUACACUAAAGUUCUCAAGUUCAAUGUCAACUAGAUGCCACUCGUUCUGGGUUCAUUGUUAACUAGAUGCCACUCGUUCUGAUUACACUAGUUUACAAUAUACUAGGUUCUCAUUCACAUAGACAUAUUCAUUACAUAUAGGGUUAACUACCUCAUAGUGUUCAACUCAUGCAUACUAGGUUCUCAUCCAUUGUAUUCACAACCCAAACUAUCACUAGCAUGCAAGGAUAUGCACAAUUACAUUUAACACCCUAUAAUGCUAUAUUACAGUAUGAAUUUAAUCGACAUAAUAACCCAGACAUAGAAAGCAGCUCGACUGCUUCGGGAUGGCACUCCCCCACCUUUUGGUCGUGCCGCGCGACUAGACAACUCGACGUCGCGGUCUUCGUGCGUCGCUUCAGCACCUCGGGGCAAAACGAACCCCCGAGUAUCAGUUUCGGCGAUAUCUUCGCACCCGCUCGUUGGAUCGACGAACCGUCUUCGCCUACACGUUCAGAGACCAAGCAAUUAGGUUUGCGACCACUUAAAAUAGAUCAAAACCCUAGCCUUCUCUUUCUCUUUCUCUUCUUUUCCUUCUUCUUCUUCCUCUCCUUCUUCUUCUCCUUCUCCUUCUUCUUCUUCUUCUUUCUAGAGAGAGAGAGAGAGAAAGAGUGUGAGAGAGGGAGAGAGAGAAAGCAACUGAGAGGGAGAGAGAGGUCCCCCACCUCUAUUAAAGGCCACUUUGCAAUUAGCCCCCCCUCACUUUCUACCUUCUGAACUAGCCCUCACUGGGCAUUUUCGCAGCGAGGGACUGGUCCCAGCUCGGGGAGACCGGUCCCCGAAGGCCACCCAUUCGGGCAGAGGGGAUUUCGCGUUCGGGAAUCGGUCCCUGUCUGAGAGACCGGUACCCGGGAGACCGGUCCUUGGCUGAGAGACCGGUUUCCGAGAGUAGUAUUUUCGGGACUUAGCCAAAUUUCGGCUAAUCACGCGGGGCCAACGUUCGGGAACCGGUCCCUGCCUGCCAGAGACCGGUUGCACCGAGGAACCCCGCCAGCCCAGCCUGAUGGGACCGGUCCCUCCCUGCCAGGGACCAGUCCCCGAGAGCAAAUUCUGCUCCAGUGCAGAUUUUUCACUGCAGCUCUCGCGGACCCUUCCUCAAUGCACUCUAGGCAUUUUAAUCACCUUCGGGCUUUCCAAAGCCCACACCCUCGACAAACAGUCGAUUCUGAAUGAAGUCCAAUCCUCGGCCCUCGAGAAUUUACUUCCUUACAGCACCAUUCUUUUUUAAAUAAAUUUUUAAAAAGUGUAUUAUCAAUGAUCUAAUAUGCACUUGUGAUAUAUGUUACAUGCAUUAAUUAAAGUGUUUUAAUAUGCUUUAAUGAAAUAUUGCAUGCAUUUAAAUAUUGUCAUAUGCCUUUUAUAUGAUAUAGAUGUAUUUUUAGGCAUAAUAAUAUUUUUUUUUUAUGCAUGCCUUAUCAUGUGGGAGUCUUUUAUUUUUGGUAGAGUAAUUAUAUGCUUUUACUCCCAAAUAUUUUGUGCAUCUUAAUUAAGUAUUUAAAAUUUUUUGACAUAUGGUGCGUGAUGUGAUUAUGAGCAUAGCGAAAUUUUCCUUUACGCAUCUAUGGUCUAAUUUUUUAAUUUAUUUAAUUAGAGAUGUGGCAAAAUUGAAUACAUGCAUCGUGUACUAAUGUUAAAAUAUCCUUUUCUGCGUAUUGCAUGAACAAAGUGAGAUUUAAUGGCCUCCAAGCAAAUUGUUGCUGAUUUAAACAAGGGCGAGAAAUUGGAUGGUGACAAUUAUGAUAUUUGGCACCGUAAAAUUCAAUAUGUCGCGCUGAGCAAGAGGUCCUGGAAAACUUGAGUAAUAAAAUGGACCAACCACGAGGGCAACAGUGCCCAGGCUCGCCGAGAUAUGGAAGCCUACAAUAAUUGGCUAAAAAGAUCGCAUUGCCCGUCACGUGCUGAGCAGUAUGUAGAAUGAUCUCUUGUGCGAGUGUGAAGCAGUAUCCGACUGCGUAUUGACAUGUGGGAGGCUCUCAAAGCAAAAUUUGGUAGCAACUUCGGCUACAAGUUGCGCAGUCUGAUCUAUAUGGUUUGACAGUUAUAAGAAGCGUGCCGAUCAGACUAUGAAACAGCAGUUAGAACUAUGUCAAACAUGAUUCGCGAGUUAAAGUUGGCUGGCGGCACCUUGACUGAUGAGCAGCAGAUCAAGCUACGAUUGGCUCUCUUCCCAAUUCUGGAACAUAUGCGAGUAAAUUGACCACAUAAUGGAUAAUAUCAAACUUUGAGGAUGUUGCGCGCAUUUAGAGUUGGAGGAGGAGCGCCUUGACUGGCUGUAAACUCAAACUGGCAAAAUGCGCUGCGUCAAACUUUCGCAGGACAUCUGGGUUCAAGCGAAGAGGACUACUGUGGCUCAAAUCGUAGCGGAUCACGCCUAAGAACACGAAGAGCAGCUAAAAGAAAGAGAACAAACGAGUGGCAAGAAGGACAAGUCAAAGAUGAUUGUUCAACUGUAAUCAGCUGGGACACUUCGCUCGUGAUUGCACUGAGCCGAAGAAGGUACGUCUCUAUCCCGAUUCUCGCUCUUUUGUUUCUUCUAACACGUUUGUUGCUGAAUCUCUCCUGUGUGGAUUGUAGACUGGGAGCAACAACGACACCGUAGCGAGGGAUCGGAUGGGAUUCGUCGAGUACCGUCGUGUGCCUGCUGGGAGCAGAAGAGUAUAUCAUGGGAACGAUUCAAGUGUCGAUGUGUUAGGCGUUGGCACAUCAAGUUGAUCAUGCAAGGUGGUGAACUUUACCUACAUGAUGUAUCUCAUGCUCCAGGAAUUCGGCGGAACUUGUUUUCUAUUCUGCUAUGCUACAGUUAGGCUUUUCUUUUCGUUUUGAGAGUGAUGUAGUUAAAUUCAUCUUGGAACUAUUUAUUAUGGAGAAGUUUUUAUGUCAAUGGUUUUAUGUUUUGGACAUUGAUUAUAAUAUAAAAUAAUAGUGAUUCUUUUCCCUGCUUCUUCUGUUGAGAAUGAUUACAAUGUUUUCAAUUAAAUGGCAUGCACGUCGUUGGUCAUAUUAGGCAGGAUAGAAUGACUAGAAUUAGUUAGAGACGGGUUUUUGAGCUCGCUCAUCUAAAGUCGACCUGCCCACAUGUGAACAUUGUUUAGCAGGAAAAGCGACCCGAAACGCAUUUAAUGAAGCUUCUAGGGCAGAAUUUCCUUUACAAUUGAUCCAUUCCGACCUUUGGUGCCCAAUGAGUGUGAGGGCAAGAUAUGGUGCUUUACUAGUCACACACAUUUAUAGAUGACGCAUACGCGCUUCGGUCAUAUUUAAUCUAUCCCCAUAAGUCUGAAGCCAUUGGAUUGUUUAACGUUAUAUAAAUGAGGUUGAGAAUCAGUUAGAUAUGAAAAUUAAAUGCUUAAGAACUGAUCGAGGCCGCGAGUAUCUAUCUGAACAAUUCAAGGAAUUGUGUGAUGAAAAGGGAAUAAUCAGACAGCUGACAAUUCCUGGCACUCCGCAGCAAAAUGGUGUAGCGGAGAGAAGAAAUCGCACCUUGCUUGACAUGGUUAGGUCAAUGAUGGCGCAAGUAAAUUUGCCUGUCUCCUUUUGGGGAGACGCAUUGUUAACUGCUGCCUACAUUCUUAAUCGUGUACCCUCCAAAACAGUAUCUUCCACCUCUUAUGAAUUAUGGACAGGCAGGAAACCAAAUUUGGAGCUCCUCCGUCCUUGGGGUUCGGCAGCUUAUAUACACAACACUUCUCACAAGGAUGGAAAGUUGGGUCCUAGAGGAAGGAAGUGUAUCUUUAUAAGAUACCCUGAUCACUCUAAGGGAUAUGUGUUCAUUGGAAAGCAGCCAGAUGGAAGUUUGACUGAGAUUGAGUCACGAGAUGUUGAAUUCCUCGAGGAGGAUUUUUCUUAUAGAAGUGAGGUUCGAAAUGAAAUUGAGAUCCAUGAGAUGGAUGACUCUGGUAUUGGCGCUUCUAUUUGCUCAGUUGAGGCAGAGGAGGGAACUCCGAUACCUCCUGGGGAUAGUGGGAGCGACUUACCUUUAGAUAAGGAGCCUUAACUUCGUAGGAGCGCACGUGUGGGCGUUCCCCGUCGUCGUUUUGAGAUUGAGGGGAAAGCUUUCAUGGUUGCUGCACAUGAUGAUGAGCCUGGAUCUUUCCAAGAGGCUCUCUCAUUACCUACUCAUAAGGAAGGGUUGGAUGCAAUGAUAGAGAAAAUAGAAUCGAUGAAGUCAAAUCAUGUCUGGGACUUGAUUGACUUAGCGCAAGGUAUACGGUUCAAUCGAUAGGUACAAGGCUCGCCUGGUAGCAAAGGGUUUUACCCAACGAGAAGGCAUUGAUUAUGAAGAAACCUUCUCUCCUGUUGUAAGGUUUGCUUCGAUCCGCCUAAUCUUGGCCAUUGUCGCAUAUUUGGAUUUGAAACUUUACCAAAUGGACGUUAAAACUGCAUUUUUCAAUGGAGAACUGGAUGAGGAGAUUUAUAUGGAUCAGCCUGCUUGCUUCUCUGUAAAAGGUGAGGAGUAUAAAGUUUGUAAGCUCCGACGAUCCAUUUAUGGAUUGAAGCAGUCCUCCAGACAGUGGCAUAUUCGAUUUCAUCGAGCCAUCACUGAAGAUGGGUUUACGAUGAUUGAAGAAGAUCACUGUGUGUAUGUUAAACGGUCCAAAAGGAUUUUUUCUAAUCCUUUCCUUAUAUGUUGAUGAUAUCCUAUUGGCCGGGAAUAAUAAGGAGAUGAUUGUCGCCACUCAGACGUGGCUGUCCUCUAAUUUUGAAAUGAAGGACAUGGGUGAAGCGAAUUAUGUGCUCGGAGUUAAGAUCCUACGAGAUCGUUUAAAGAAACUUUUAGGUAUGUCCCAACAGACUUACCGAAGAAAAGUUUUAGAACGAUUUCAGAUGCACAAUUGCAAACCCAUUGACACUCCUAUUGCUAAAGGUGAGAGUCUGAACCUUAAACAGUGCCCUAAAACUUCUGUAGAGAAGGAUAAGAUGAAUCGGAUUCCAUAUGCUGGUGCGGUCGGGAGCCUGAUGUAUGCUAUGAUGUGUACUCGGCCUGAUAUAUGCUAAGCUGUGGGGUUGGUUAGCCAUUUUCAGUCCAAUCUAGGAUUGGACCACUCGAAGGCAGUGGCGCAGAAGAAAAUAAUCCUGGAACACAUAUCUACGAGUCGUGUGGUUGCAGAUUCUCUAACUAAGCCUGUUGUUAGAGAAUUAUUUUUUGGCUUAUGUUAAAGCUCUUGGACUUCGUAGGAUUUGAUUGUGUAGACAGUCGAUUAUUUUUGGUUAUUUAAUUACAAAUUAUGAUUGUGGCAAAGAUAUUUGGCAAGAUUAGUACACGUGCAUAUAUUUCCUAUAUUGUUAUUGAACGGAUUGAUAGUAUGUCGCAGGCCGAUUGGCCCUCUCACACGGGCAAUCAUUCUUUUCGACGCUGUAGAGAGCGAGCGAAAAAUUGAGGCAUUAAUGGAAGCCGCCUUGGUUGGCACCAAGAUGAGGUCAUUAAUGAGACCGCAUACAAAGAGUCCCACGAUUCGUAUGGCCUGUACAUUAAGAGUCGGAUGUGAGCUCACCGUUUGGCGCUUGAGAUAGCGAGCAAAUGGAGAACUCAGGCUAGACACUCCGGGUGUGACUGAGCUAAGAUCCGUAUGACAUUUAGAAAGACAUACGCUUAUUGGGAUUCUCUGUCAUAGCAUGUAUUUCAUACUACAUGUGCUGGGCGACUAAAUAAAGAAGAUGAGUGAAUGGAUCCCUGCUUCCUCAUCGUGUGAGUUCUUACCGGCAUUUUUUUGAGACGAUGUCCUAUAUAUGUUAGAUGCCCUUGGUGACUUUUGACUAUGUCAUUAAGUGAAAGAAUUGAUGUUGCUACUUUGGCAUGUUACCUACGGCUAUGAGUGAUGCGGCUUUACGGGGCAUUGCUGGGAAAGCAAUCAGUUCUCAACUCGGUGGCAUGAGGGCUCAAGGAAGACUAACUGAAUUACAUUCAGACACUUUGACUCAUUGUCGACAGGUUGUGUCGCUUCAGCAUAGCGAAACAAUCAUGAGUAUAGUGUCAUAAUGUGUGCAACGGAGGUUAGCAUGGCUCUCAGAGGGAUUAGAGAUGCUGAACCUGAUGUAAUUCAAUGGUCUAGGGCAUCACGAGUCUAAUAUUUUUUUUCUUUUUUGAGGGUUGAUGUCUCUAUGCUGGCCGGAUGCGGUUUCUAGUAUAGAGCUCCCAAAAUGCAGGUUGACUCGGCGGUCGUACUGUUCAUUUUCCUGUAUGAAUAGAAUUAAUAGUGGUGUGAUGUUGAGGAAGUGGUUAUGUCACGCCCCGGGACCCAGCGGAAGCCCGCCCGGCGCGUGCCCAGACCCGCCAUACGUCUAAAAUAUAUAAGGCAGUGAUAAAAGACAACUAGGAGUAUCAGAGCAUGAUAAGUGUCUAAGUUCAACGACAAGGGAGUAAGGAUAAAACUGAAAUCCACUAAAGAAACAUAAGGUAGUACAAAGGAAACCCCAAAAUAAGUGCUAAAAGUAAAUACAUAGGUGGUCUCUAUACAUGGAUACAAAAUCUCUAACUCUCUCAACUACCAAAAAGAAAGAGUAAACCACCUAGGCAAAGAACCGCUCCUCGCUAGCUAGCUAUGCGAUCCCCUUGCCACGACCCCGUGCCUCCGCCGGUGCCGAAGGCUCUGAAAGAAACCACAAAAAGAGGGCGUGAGAACUAUUAAAAAUAGUUCCCAGUGGGCAAUUACUGACUUCAGUGAACUGCGCCACAAGGCCCAAAAGCUACAAGGAAGAGGUCAGUGACAAAAUGUACUAAAGCAAAAGGAAAGUAAAAUGUAACUCGCUAUAGCAUAAUGUCUCUACUUAGCAUGAUUUGUAUAAGUAAUAAAGCAACUAUAACAUGAAUGCACAUGGAUGUGUAUAACAUGAAUCAGCAUAGGUAUGCAACCCUCACGAUGUCCAUAAUACAAAUAGUAAAGAUAUCACUGUUUACUAUUCUAGCCAAAGUCCCGUCAAUAUACAAAGUCAUCAUCUGUCCUCAUGUCAUAAUGAAUACUCAAAGUCAAAUCUGAAGAGACCCACCCGAAGGCUGUCUAUGGCCCUGAGACCCACCCGUAGGCUGUCUGGCCGGUGCCGAGCCUAAUGGCCCCGUGGUAGUCAUCAUCCCCACCCUAGGAAUGAGCCUGGCCCACGGCAAUCCACUUUGGCGCCCAAUCCCGCACGGCGAAUAUGAAUCGCGAUGGCUAUCUCCGGAGUGCCGGCUUGUAGGGAGCGACCCUCACAAGCAUGUGCGAAUGAGCACAAUGGCAAGUAGUCAUACGUCCUGUCACAAGUACCAAGUCCUCAUGUCUAAAAUAUGGAAUGUAUCGAAUGUCCCAAUGGCCUAUCUCUAUGUCAUCAUGUCUCUAACAUGGAAUAUAUAGCAGAUGUUCGAUGACCUAACAUUAUAUCUCUAUGUUGCAGUUUCAUAGUUUACUAGUUUCGAGUGCCCCUUGAUGACACUUCAUGCUACUAAGUCAAGCCUAGUAUACUGUUUCCCAUUAUCCAAAUAUGAGCUAAUUUAGCAUUCUAGACGAGCAUCCCAUUCGUCCACACGAACACUCCUCACAUGCAUGAAAAUAACCCUGCUCGCUCUACUAUAUAGAGUGAAAUUUAACUUACACAUAAGGCAUGCAUUUUAAGUGUCCUAAAAUUCACAUAAAUUCCAUUUAGCAUAGAAAUGCAUUUAAAAAUACUUUACAACAAGUAUAAAGGGCAUAGGGGCCAUUUUGCCCCGUUUCCACGAAGCCAAACCCACCAAAAUCGACUUCUUCGUUUCGCUGAACGAAGUGAUCCACAAGCUUCCUAGUACCCUAGAAGCAUCAAAAGUAGGGUUACCCAAACGAAACGAAGAGCCUAUAGCUCAAUCAUUAACCAUCUAGCAAAAGGGGUAAAACUCACCUCAAGAGCAACAAUCUCCUCUCAAGCUCCAAAUGAGAGCUAGAACCCUUCCAAUCUAUCCUAGAGGAAGGUUCUAAUCCAAAAGAUUGAGCCUCAAAAGCCCUAAAUCAAAAACGCCCAAAAACAACCCUAAGUGUACAAUCUAGGGUUUCAUCUCAAAGAGAACCUCAAAUCCAAAAUCUAGAGGGAGAGAAUAAGCUACCAACCUCUUAGAAGCUUCCAACAAGGUUCAAAGUCCUCAAGGUCGAAGAAUCUCUCCUCCAACAAGCUCCAAACCCAAGCUCUAAUGGUGGAAAUGCCUUCAACACCCAAAAAGGAGCAAAAAGAGGUGUUUAAUCUCUAAAAACCCAAGCAAAAUCAAGGAAAAGGAAUGAGGAGGUGUGGAGAGCUCCCUCACCUUUCUCCUUGCUGGUGCCAAGCUCAGGGAAGACCCCUAGGGCGUGGGGAUACAAAUAGAGAGGCUACAAUCGCGAAUACACCCCUGCAGUUCAAACUACUCAAAAACUGCCUCCUUGUACCGGUACACGGGCUCUUGUACCAGUACAAGCCCAACGAAAAUCACAACCCGAGGCUCGGGUUGGCGGGUUCAGCGGCUCUGUACCGGUACAAGCCGAUGGCUGUACCGGUACAACUAUCAACCCUUGUACCGGUACACCCAUCAACCCUGUACCGGUACAAGGCCCUGAAAACUGAAAUCCGAGAGCAGCCUAAGCCCAACUUUUUGGUGACCUUAGCGCUACUUUAAAAACCUCGAUUCUCAGGAUACGCGCCAUAGGUCGGAACACAGUCAACGACCCACCAGAAAAUCUGGAAAAGCUCAGGACACAGUCCAAACACUCGAACCUCGCAAUUUGCAAAGGUCCAGUGUGCUACAGGUUACGAUGGCAUCGAUCCCGUCAUGUGCGAGUGGGAGAUGUUGGCAUUCGGUUAAAUCGAAUCGGGUACGCCCAUAAGCGGGUUCGAUCCGACGGAUAUUAUGUUAUCUAAUUGGAUUGGAAUUAAUCUCGCUUUCAAAUUGAAAAGUUAGUUAAAGAUAAAUCCUAGUCAUAUUAGGAUAACAAUUAAUAACCGUUUUGGCCUUAUCUCUAACGCUAUUAGGAUUUUGGAAUCCCUAUAAAUAUGCGGGCGAUCCCACAUAACAAAAGGUACAAGAACGAAAAAAGAAAAGAGAAUAAGAAAACAAAAGAGAGAAACCACAUCCUCCAUUAACCUAUUAUUCUAGAGGGACUUGAACGGUGGAUUUGUGAUCGUGCUCGUUUGUAGUUCGAUCCAUUGCGAGUUUGGAACGUGAGAAGAUUUAAUCAAGGACGAUCAAAGGACACGUGAAUCAACCUCGACGAUCCGGGCUCAUCGCGUUAUAGCGCGAAUCGCUUCCGCAAAAAGGUAUGAACGAAUACUUCCGCUGCGUUCUACAUUUUACCUCACUUGGGUGCUCACAUUUUAUCUCAUGCAUACAUAUAGGGUUAAACAUUCAUAGGGGUUCUCAACCAUCUCAUUAGACAAAUUGUACUCACAAUAUGCGACAUCACAUUAUUCUCAUUACAUAUACCCUACUAUGCAUGCAACAAUGUAUAUAACAUAUGCUCAAUUGAAUGACACAUUAGGCAUAGAAGGAAGUUCAACGAGUUUGGAUAGUACCACCCACCUCGUAGGUUCUCAAAGGUGCUCCGACGAUUUUCUUGGGAUUUUUAGACACCCGGUUCGCUACCUGCGAGUUAACGAAGCCAAUUAGGCUUAUUUGGCCGUAACUUUACAUCGGCUUUUCGUAACGUUAAUCCGAGCACACCAACGCGUCGGAAAUACCCCCAAUUAGAUUUCUAGAGGGUCAAUUGCACUUUAGAACCCUCGCAAGCAAAAGCCCCAAUUUGGGUGCCCUGGCUCAUAACAUACAUCAAACCUAGGGUUUGAUCUCAUUGGGAAGCAAAAGAAGCUUCAUUCUACGCUAAAGACUCCACAAAAAUCAUCUUUAGUUCAAUCCAAACCCUAGUUUGGAUUCUACCAUGAGAGGGGUUGAAGCUCUCCUUCAAGCUUCACCUUCCACACCAUUCCAUGGUUUUGAUCUCAAAAUGAAGCAAAAGAUAGCUUCAAACACUCUAUAGGUUCUAUUAAAACCAUUUCUAGGUCCAUCCAAACCCUAGUUUGAGCUUUACCACUAUUGGGAUUCAAAGCUUACCUUGUAAGCUUUCCUUUUCCAAGCUAGGGAAGGAGAGGAGGGGUCUUCUUCUCCUCCUUGCCUUCUUCUUCACCUUCUUCCUCUUCUUUUCUUUUCUUCUUCUUGUCUUCUUCUUCUCCUUCUUGUCUUCUAGAGAGAGAAAGAGAGAUGAGAGGGGGAGUGUGAGGGAGAGAAUGAGAGGAAAAGCCCUCAAAACCCCCCACUUAACCAUUGGGUUGCACAAAUGCAAAUAGGCCCCUCAACUUUCACUUUAUUGAACUGCUUGAACUGGGCAGUUUUCGGGUUCGGGGACUGGUCUCCCGACUUGGGACCGGUCCCAGAGAGCUCUCCCGCAGCUCAGCGGGGGCCUUCGCACGAGGCAACCGGUCUCUCCGAGGGAGACCGGUCUCUCGGGGACCGGUCUCUCCCCGGAGGGACCGGUUCCCGAGAGCUGGUUUUCUGGGACUUAGCCGAUUUUCAGCUUUUCUCAUUUCUCACGCGUUCGGGGACAGGUCUCUCCCACCAAGGACCGGUCCCCGAGAGCUCAAAAACUGCAGUUUGAAGAUUUUUGAUUCUUUAGCUCUCGAAAACCUCCCACAACGCACUUUUGAUCAUUUUAACACCUUCGGACUUUUCGAAGUGUACCACCCUCGCACUUUGGUCAAUUUGACUAAAGUUCGAUAUUUAUUUUCCGAAUUUUUGGUAUAUUACACCCCGUGUAAGGAAGUGAAUUCUCGAAAUCCGAGAGUUGUACUUCGUCCAGGAUCGACUAUUUGUCGAGUGAGUAUCCUUCGGAAAGGCUAAAGAUAUCCAAAACACGAAAAGUGCAUUGGAAACGUGUCCGCGAGAGCAGAUAUGCAGAAAUCUGGACUCAGCAGAUUUUGCUCUCGGGGACCGGUCCCUGGAAGGGAGGACCGGUCCCCGUAGCUGAUGGUUGCGGGGGAGGUUGAUGCAACUGGUCCCUGGCUGAGGGGACCAGUCCCCGUGUGCGACGUCAGCGAGAGAAGGCCAAAAUCGGCUAAGUCCUGAAAAUCGAGCUCUCGGGGACCGGUCUCUCAGGUGAGGACCGGUCUCCCGGGGAGAGACCGGUUCCCGAACGUGAAGAGGCCCUCUGGCCGCCAGGACUGCUCUCGGGGACCGGUCCCAGGUCGGGGAGACCGGUCCCUCUGGGCGCAGAAUGCCCAGUAAGAGCAGUGUACAGAGACAAAAGUUGAGGGGGUUAACUGAAUAUUGUUAAAAUAGAGGGGCUUAUGGGUCCCCUCGCUCUCUCAUUCUCCCAUUUCUCUCUCUCUCUCUCUCUCUCUCUCUCUCUCUCUCUCUCACUCUCUUGCUCUCUCUAUCUAGAAAAGAAAGAACAAAAGAGAAGGAGAAGAAGGAAGAGAAGAAGAAGAAGGAGGAGAAGAAGAAGAAGACGGAGGAGAACAAGCUAGAGAAGGCUUGGAGCAUCUUCCUCUCUUCCUCUCCUCUCCAUUGGUGUAGCUCAAGAGGUAGGCUACCACCCUAGCUUGUAGAGCUUAGGGUUUUUGGGUUUUGAGCUUUGAGAUGAGGUCAAAUGGACUUCUAGUACCAUUGUUGGUGGAUUAGAGCUAGAGGCUAGGGUUUCAUGGUGCAAAUGGCAUGAUGCUAACCCUAGGGCACCUAAAAUGGGAUUUUUGGAAAUAGAUGAGAUUGAUCCCAUUUGAGGCCUUGUAAACCUAAUUGCUAGGUGUCCAAACGCGUUUGCGGAGUCGGAUUUAUGAUUCGUCGAGCGGGUGUAGAGCUAUCGGCAAAGUAGGGCCGACCUAGCUUCGUUUCUCCCAAAGAGGCGGGGAACACGUGGUUUGAAGUGCCGAGGAACGCUUCUAGGACCUCCACAACGAUUAUCGACGAGAAAAGGUGGGGGGUGUCAUCCCGAAGCAACCGAACUCUUUUCUAUGUCUUAGAAAUACAUGAUUUGCAUCUCUUGCAUGUUGCAUUGUAGGAUUGCAUUGUAGUACCUUUUCCUUAUGCUUCUAAAUGUAAACCUAGUGUACAUGGAACGCUUGGUGACUUGGAUAGGUGAGGAUUGGGUCGAAACGUGGAUCCUAUAGUGCUAAAGGGAAGAGAUGGACACGAUGGGUGUUUGGUGACAUAGAAAAUGACAUCUAAAUGUUAGAGAUCAUAUCGAGUGGCAUUAAAGUAGUGUAUUUGACACUAGAGAUUCUUGUGAACAUAGGGAUAAGUGGACUCCCUAGAAAAUGCCUUGUGGAUAAAGAACUUAGUAAAGCUAAGUAUCCUCACAUGGAGAGGAUGUAGAUGAUUCCGAGAGAUAUGUUGACCCUAGCGGUAGGAUAUCCCCACAUGGAGGGCAUAGAUCGAGCUCACGGUCUGUUUUGGGGUGGUAUAGCGAUCCAUAUCCUCACAUGGAGAGGAUUGUCGUCGAGUACUCCGGAGUGUCGGGCGAUUAGGACCACAUGGAGGUCCGCAGACAGUCCCGGGUUUGNGGUACACUCCUAUGAAUCGAAAUGAUUCAAGAAACAGGUGUUCCGUAAAAGAUCCCUCAGGUGAAUAGGGAUUCAAGUGUUCUUGGAGAUCACAGUUUAUGUGAUGAAAUUACGGUGAGCUAUACUAGAGAUUGUAAAUCUACAGUAAAAGAUACAGUGGUUUGUGGGUAGCACAGGUAGAGAGGAUGUAGAUGAUUCCGAGAGAUAUGUUGACCCUAGCGGUAGGGUAUCCCCACAUGGAGGGGAUAGAUCGAGCUCACGGUCUGUUUUGGGGUGGUAUAGCCAUCUAUAUCCUCACAUGGAGAGGAUUGUCGUCGAGUACUCCGGAGUGUCGGGCGAUUUUGACCAAAUGGAGGUCCGCAGACAGUCCCGGAUUUCGGGGCACAUGGAGCUCCCUUGCCCAAUACGGGAUGGAAAGGUGAGUUGUAGGCGAGCCCAAGGGUUUCGCCACGGAUUGGGUAAAUGAACAAUUAACAAUGUCAUGGAACAUUAUCAUUCGAAUAUGGAUCGAAAUUGUUAGCAUGUUAGUAAACCUUUACUAUAUGAUGCAUGCAUUCAUUAUACAUGAUUUUAGGCAUAGUAGCAUAGUUUUCCUUUAUGCCUUUACAGCUUUGAGAUAUCUAUCUAUCUAUCUAUUUGUUGUUACUUGUGCCCACUUGGACCUAGUGGGGAGAUCGGCGGAGUCGGCGGCCGAGCCCACCGGGAACUAUGGAAGAUAGUUCUCACCCCACUCUAUUUCCAGUGGUAGGUACAGGUUUACCGAGCCAGGACCGCGGCAAGGGCAUCACGCCCGACCAGUGAGACCAUGGUAGUAUAGUAGCUUUCCUUUUUGCAUUAGCACACCUAUGUAUUGAGAGAGAGAUUCAUGUAGGUGAGGUUGGAGAGCUAUGUAUUUUGAUGAACAAAUGUAUUCAUUUUGGGGAAAAGAUUUACAUGAAAAAGAAUUCAAAGUAUCGUAAUAGUUAGUAAAGUUCUCUCUUUAUUUCACUUGUAUUUCUCGUGGAUUACUUGCUCUUGUUGUUGUUGGCACCGUUUGUGCCCCGUUGAAUGUGUAUGUUUAGAAUUUGAAUUCCUGGGUAAAUUCUUGUACACAUUCCUAUUGUUGAGCCUUGGGCGAAUAGGAGAGGUGCUGUCCGUUCGGCGGUCCGCCCGCCGCGCCCGAAUCGUGCCAAAUUGGUAGUGGUUUCGGGGCGGGGCGUGACAGUCGUGUGGUAUCAGAGCAGUAAGAGCAAGUAAAGAGAGAAAGUCUAGGAUAACCUAGGAGACCCUAGGUUGGUGAGCCCUAAGUUUAUAGGUGCGUGAGCGGAACGUGAACCUAUAACGAUGGCGGAAGUUAAUUUGAUUGGGUCGAGAUUGAAGUUAUCUCUCUAGUAGCGACUAGAGGUGAAUUCAAGUGGUAUUAGCUCUUGACUUGAGGUGGUGGUGUCAGCGGCCGACGACAUGACGCCAAGAGUCGGGAACGAGUACACUUGUGUGCUUCCGCCCGAUUUAGUUAUCGAGUCGUCUUAUGUGGUAAUUGCGACGAGGCGAACGGGUUAAGAUAAUUAACCAAGUACUUGCGUUUCAGGAGCCAAUGGCACCAAGAGGACGCCCGAGCACAAGAUCUACUCCGGCACCGCCUCCUGAGGUGCCCGAGCACCCUGAACGGAGCAUGAUGGAUCGGUUGCAAGCACAGGUGUCCGCGUUGACCAAUGUGGUGCAGCGCCAGGAGACCCGAUUUGAGCGGCUCCAGGAUCUUUUAGAGCGACAGGUAGCGGCGGCGGCUGCGACGGUGAACGAGGGCGGUGGUCCGCCCGCACCCUCGAUUCAUGUACCCGAAGCGGCAGAGGGUGAGGGUAUAGCGGCGGUUCCGGUGACGACACGCCCACCGCGAGCGAUCAUACCACAGGCGGCGUCGGGAUCGGCUACACCCGAUGUGACGGCCGAAGAUGUGGAAGGAGAGCGCACAUUGGCGGCUCUUAUUAAGUUCAACAAGUUCCAUCCGCCUACCUUUGAGGGCGAGAAAGUGGAGCCGGCAAUGGUCGAGUCUUGGAUCGAUUCGAUGGAGACUCUCUUUGAGGACUUGCAUACCUUGGAGAGGGACAAGGUGUACCUUGCCACCCACUGUCUGGAGAAGGCGGCAAAGGUAUGGUGGAAGCGCGUGAAGCCAGAUCGGCCUUCCGAUCUCCCGCCGAUGUUGUGGGAGGAAUUCAAGCGGGAGAUGUUCGCCAACUACUUUCCCGAUACGUUGAAGCGGAAGCUUAAGGAGAAGUUCCGCAAGUUAGAGCAAGGGGACCGCUCAGUGGCGGAGUAUGAACAAGAGUUCUCCUACAUCAUUGAUUGUGUCCCGGACGUAGUGAAGGAUGACCGGGACCGGGCCGAUUGGUUCUUGCGAGGACUUCGGCCAGGGAUUUAUAAGGCCGUGCAGAUACUCAAGCUCACGACCUUUGCGGAGGUCUUCGACCGAGCACUUUGGGCGGAGCACGGAGACGCCCACGUUCGGGAGAAGCGUGAAGAUGCUGGCCGAGUCCAAGGACAAAGGCAAGAAACGCCAAGGCGGCGACGGUUCGGGGGGACAAGCACGUUCCAAGAAGCCCCCGAAGUAUCCGCGGACUCAGCCAAAGGGAGGUGGAGCGCGACGGUGCAUCAUAUGCGGCGGAGACCACCCAGUCUCGCGAUGUGAGCAGGGCCGAGGCAAGUGCUACAAGUGUGGGCAAUCGGAACACUUCAUUCGGGACUGCCCAGGAGGAGGAGCCUCACCUGCCCCAUCGACUGCAUCGGCGCCGGCGAUUUCGGCUCAUUAUGGAGGAGUUCCACCGACGGCCGCGUCGACGGGACGCGCGAUGAUGCAGCGUCAGCCUGAGGUGACGCGAUCAGCUCCGAGCGGCCGGGUAUUCGCCGCUCAGGUUCAAGCCGAGGAGCCUGCAGAGGUGGAGGAGCAUCGCCUUGUGGCAGGUAUGGCUUUAAUUAACGGAGUUCGCUCCAGGGCUUUAUUUGAUACAGGAGCCACGCAUUCAUUCAUUAGUAGAUCAUUCGCACGCAUGCAUGACAUUCUUAUUGAGGCGAGUGACAAGUGGCGGGUUGAGGGCCCUGGGUCGACGUUUAAUACCUACUUAGAGUGUGCAUCGUGUCCGGUACAAGUAGGCGACUGGAUGAUGCCUAUUCGGACGCUAGAACUCAAGAAGCUCGAGGCUUAUGACAUCAUUUUGGGCAUGGACUGGCUCUCGAAAAAUCAUGCAACGAUCGACUGUAAAAGCAGGGUAAUUACGUUUCGUGAGCCAGGACAAAAGGAGUUCACAUAUCGGGCUUGCCAGAGCUCGUGCUUCGUCGCGACGGUGUCGGCGACGAGAGCAAGGAAGUUGGUCAACAGCGGUUGCACGGCAUUCUUAAUAACUGUUGUGGAAAUGGAACGAGUAGCCCCAACAUUGGAGGAGUUAUCGGUGGUGCGGGAGUUCCCGGAUGUAUUUCCCGCGGAGUUACCGGGGAUACCACCGGAUCGAGAGAUCGAGUUCGUUAUAGACUUGGUUCCCGGUACCGCACCGAUCUCAAAGGCUCCGUACCGAAUGGCGCCGGCGGAACUGAAAGAGUUGAGGAGUCAAUUGCAAGACCUUCUCGACAAGCAGUUUAUCCGGCCAAGUGUAUCACCGUGGGGAGCCCCGGUGCUUUUUGUAAAGAAGAAGGAUGGAUCGUUUCGACUCUGUGUGGAUUAUCGAGAGUUGAACAGAGUCACGAUCAAGAACAAGUACCCACUUCCCCGAAUCGACGACCUGUUCGACCAGUUGCAGGGGUUGUGUGUGUACUCGAAGAUAGAUUUGCAGUCUGGCUAUCACCAGUUGAAGAUUAAGCCGAAGGAUGUGCAGAAAACUGCGUUUCGUACGCGGUACGGGCACUAUGAAUUCACGGUUAUGCCAUUUGGACUCACGAAUGCUCCAGCGGCAUUUAUGGACUUGAUGAACCGUGUCUUCAGGAGGUUUUUGGAUCAAUUUGUCGUGGUCUUCAUAGACGACAUAUUGGUCUAUUCUCGUAGUGACGAGGAACAUGCCGAACAUUUGAGGAUAGUGCUUCAAACCCUUCGGGAGGAGAAGCUGUAUGCUAAGUUGAAGAAGUGUGACUUCUGGCUCCGAGAAGUCGCAUUUCUAGGGCAUGUGAUUUCCGCGGGUGGAGUUUAAGUAGACCCGAGGAAGGUUGAGGCAAUCAGGAAUUGGCCGCGCCCGACUAAUGUCACGGAGGUUCGAAGCUUCGUGGGCUUGGCGGGCUAUUAUAGGCGGUUUGUGGAAGGCUUUUCCAAGAUAGUGAUUCCAUUUACUCGCCUGACUAAGAAAGGCACCAAGUUUGUUUGGAGCGAGGAAUGCGACCGGAGUUUCAAGGAGUUGAAGUAGAGUGCUCGCCCUACCGGUGCAAGGCGAAGACUUCGUAGUCUAUAGCGAUGCUUCCUAUCUAGCAUUGGGGUGUGUUUUGAUGCAAAACGGGAAGGUGAUUGCUUAUGCAUCCCGUCAGCUGAAGAGCUAUAAAAAGAACUAACCCAUCCAUGAUUUGGAACUGGCGGCGGUAAUUUUUGCCUUGAAGUUGUGGCAGCACUAUCUAUAUGGUGCCCAUUGUGAAAUCUAUACCGACCACAAGAGCUUGAAGUAUUUGUUCAUGCAGAAAGAGCUCAACAUGAGGCAGCGGCGGUGGUUAGAACUAUUAAAGGAUUAUGAUGUGGAUAUCCCUUACCACCCCAGGAAAGCUAAUGUGGUCGCUGAUGCAUUGAGCAGGAAGUCGGUGGAGAACCUCUCGAUGUGGGUUACAAACCAGACACCGUUAUGCCUAGACAUGGAACGGAUGGAUCUAGAGGUGGUUGCUCCUGAGACUCCGACUCAGUUGAUGGCACUUGUUGUCCAACCGACCUUGUUGGAGAAGAUUAAAGAUCUGCAACCUGCGGACCCAGAACUCCAAAAAGUACGACGAAACAUCGAGGAGGGUCGAAGUGGCGAUUUCGGUAGACGCCGAGGGUACACUUCGGUUUCGAAACCGGAGGUGUGUGCCCAAAGACGGAGAGCUUCGCGAGUUGAUUCUGCAAGAAGCACACCGAUCUCCGUAUGCUGAUCACCCGGGCGGCACCAAGAUGUAUCAAGGAUUAAAAAUGCACUACUGGUGGCCAGGAAUGAAGGGUGAUAUUGGACGCUUUGUGGCGAAGUGCUUAACAUGCCAACAAGUGAAGGCCGAGUGUCGAUUUCCAGCGGGAAAGCUUCAAAGCCUACCAAUCCCCGUUUGGAAAUGGGAGGAUAUAUCAAUGGACUUCGUGGUCGGCUUGCCUCGCUCAACGGACGGCCACGAUGCAAUUUGGGUAAUUGUGGACCGAUUGACGAAGUCGGCUCACUUCUUUCUGAUCCACACCACGUGGUCGGGUGACAAGUUAGCGCAGGUAUACCUCAAUGAGAUAGUGAGACUGCAUAGGGUGCCGAAAUCAAUCGUGUCGGAUCGUGACCCCCGGUGCACUUCACACUUUUGGAAGAGCCUGCAGGAAGCCCUUGGCACACGGCUCGACUUUCGCACCGCAUUUCAUCCUCAGACCGAUGGGCAAACAGAGAGAACCAUUCAAACUCUUGAGGAUAUGUUGCGAGCGUGUGUCAUUGACUAUAAAAGGAGUUGGUGUGAUCACUUACCAAUGGCCGAGUUCGCCUACAACAAUAGUUAUCACGCUAGUGUGGAGAUGGCACCGUUCGAGGCUCUUUAUGGGCGAAAGUGCCGAUCUCCUAUACACUGGAGCGAUGUGGGUGAGCGUGCAGAGUUCGGCCCUGAUGUUCUGCGAGAAGCGGAGGAGAAAGUCCGCCUUGCUCGCAAGAGAUUGCUCAUGGCGCAGUCUAGACAGCAAAGCUAUGCAGAUAGGCGCCGUCGAGAUAUCGAGUUCGCGGUGGGCGACCGUGUAUUCUUGAAGGUUUCACCGAUACGGGGUGUGAAGCGGUUUGGAGUGCGGGGGAAGUUGAGUCCCUGAUACAUUGGACCCUAUGAAAUAUUGGAGCGAGUUGGCACAGUGGCUUAUCGACUCGCUUUGCCGCCGAAGCUCGCGGAUGUACACAAUGUGUUCCAUGUCUCCAAUCUCCGCAAGUAUGUUCACGACCCCGAGCAUGCGAUGUUAUAUGAACCGCCGGAACUUCAAAGAGACUCGAGUUAUGAAGAGUUUUCGGUGGGGAUUAUCGCCCGAGAGGUGCGAAAGUUGAGAAAUCGAGAAAUUCCCUACGUAAAGAUUCGGUGGAGCAAUCACGAUGAUCGCGAGGCCACCUGGGAACUCGAGGAUCUGAUGAGAAAGCACCAUCCUCAUCUAUUUGAGGAGUAAGGUAUGGAUUUAAGUUAAAGAUGAGAAUUGAGUUAGUUUGGAGGACGAAACUCCUUUUAAGGAGGGGAGGAUGUAAGGAAGUGAAUUCUCGAAAUCCGAGAGUUGUACUUCGUCCAGGAUCGACUAUUUGUCGAGCGAGUAUCCUUCGGAAAGGCUAAAGAUAUCCAAAACACGAAAAGUGCAUUGGAAACGUGUCCGCGAGAGCAGAUAUGCAGAAAUCUGGACUCAGCAGAUUUUGCUCUCGGGGACCGGUCCCUGGAAGGGAGGACCGGUCCCCGUAGCUGAUGGUUGCGGGGGAGGUUGAUGCAACCGGUCCCUGGCUGAGGGGACCGGUCCCCGUGUGCGACGCCAGCGAGAGAAGGCCAAAAUCGACUAAGUCCUGAAAAUCGAGCUCUCGGGGACCGGUCUCUCAGGCAAGGACCGGUCUCCCGAGGACCGGUCUCCCGGGGAGAGACCGGUUCCCGAACGCGAAGAGGACCUCUGGCCGCUAGGACUGCUCUCGGGGACCGGUCCCAGGUCGGGGAGACCGGUUCCUCUGGGCGCAGAAUGCCCAGUGAGAGCAGUGUACAGAGACAAAAGUUGAGGGGGUUAACUGGAUAUUGUUACAAUAGAGGGGCUUAUGGGUCCCCUCCCUCUCUCAUUCUCCCAUUUCACUCUCUCUCUCUCUCACUCUCUUGCUCUCUCUCUCUAGAAAAGAAAGAACAAAAGAGAAGGAGAAGAAGGAAGAGAAGAAGAAGAAGGAGGAGGAGAACAAGCUAGAGAAGGCUUGGAGCAUCUUCCUCUCUUCCUCUCCUCUUCAUUGGUGUAGCUCAAGAGGUAGGCUACAACCCUAGCUUGUAGAGCUUAGGGUUUUUGGGUUUUGAGCUUUGAGAUGAGGUCAAAUGGACUUCUAGCACCAUUGUUGGUGGAUUAGAGCUAGAGGCUAGGGUUUAAUGGUGCAAAUGGCAUGAUGCUAACCCUAGGGCACCUAAAAUGGGAUUUUUGGAAAUAGAUGACAUUGAUCUCAUUUGAGGCCUUGUAAACCUAAUUGCUAGGUGUCCAAACGCGUUGGCGGAGUCGGAUUUACGAUUCGUCGAGCGGGUGUAGAGCUAUCGGCAAAGUAUGGCCGACCUAGCUUCGUUUCUCCCAAAGAGGCGGGGAACACGUGGUUUGAAGUGCCGAGGAACGCUUCUAGGACCUCCACAACGAUUAUCGACGAGAAAAGGUGGGGGGUGUCAUCCCGAAGCAACCGAACUCUUUUCUAUGUCUUAGAAAUACAUGAUUUGCAUCUCUUGCAUGUUGCAUUGUAGGAUUGCAUUGUAGUACCUUUUCCUUAUGCUUCUAAAUGUAAACCUAGUGUACAUGGAACGCUUGGUGACUUGGAUAGGUGAGGAUUGGGUCGAAACGUGGAUCCUAUAGUGCUAAAGGGAAGAGAUGGACACGAUGGGUGUUUGGUGACAUAGAAAAUGACAUCUAAAUGUUAGAGAUCAUAUCGAGUGGCAUUAAAGUAGUGUAUUUGACACUAGAGAUUCUUGUGAACAUAGGGAUAAGUGGACUCCCUAGAAAAUGCCUUGUGGAUAAAGAACUUAGUAAAGCUAAGUAUCCUCACAUGGAGAGGAUGUAGAUGAUUCCGAGAGAUAUGUUGACCCUCCGAAUCGUGCCAAAUUGGUAGUGGUUUUGGGGCGGGGCGUGACACCCCGGGCCAAGGGGACCGGUUCCCGAACGCGUAGAUUUGGGGAGGUCCUGAGGGACCGUGUCACGUCCCGCUAUCGCCAAUUUGGUCGAUCCGGGCCCGUACACAGACGCCGAACGAACAGCACCUCCUCUGUUCGCCCAAGGCUCAACAACAACGAAUACAUGUAUAAAGAAAUUAAACAAUUCCCAGGAUCACAUUUCAAUAUACAUGGCUUGCACGAAGACAAGCAACAACACAAAUGAUAGUAAGUCUAACUAAACAUGAAAUCCACUGUAAUUCAAAACUUUACAUAACUGAAACAUUUAGUUAUAUACAUGUUCUUCAAUACAUUCAUUUACAUGUCUCUGUACAUCGAAAUAGAUGAUACAUGAACCCAAAUGGUAUACCACUAGUACUCGGGUGUCCACUAGCUAGGCUGCUGGCUCUUGCCUCGAUCCUCGGCCACAAUACUCGCACUGGAACCUGUAUGGUUAGUGGUGUGAGAACUACAAGAAAGUUCCCAGUGGGUUCGGCCGCCGACCUCGCCGACUCACCCACUAGGUCUACUCAGGCAUAUGUAGGCAAGAACAGUAAGCAGAUAGUAACCAACUACAACAUGUAACUACUACAAUGCCUGUACAAAGCUGAAAGAAGUAACAGAUAUAAAAACUGUAAAUAUGCAUGCAUGCUUUUCAUUAACUUUAUCCAAUCUUUUGGUUAACCCUGUGGUUAACAGCUGGACAAGUACGUUAGUCCUGGGGCAAGUACGUUAGCCCAUAAAUUUACCCAAUUCAGUGGUUAACCCUUUGGUUAACAAUAACUCACCAACGAAAUCCCUCACGGUCCCUAAGCUGCCUCCCGAUGGGACCGUCUGUCGGACAAGUACGUUAGUCCUGGGGCAAGUACGUUAGCCCAACAAGUGACUACUCCGGAGCUCACUGCCUGGGGGGAGCGACCACCACCAAGCAAGAAAACAGACUAUGUGAGUAAGAUCUGAUCCCCCUUAGAGGAUUCAACUGACAAUAAUGUCACAAUUUAACUCUAACUAGUUCUUUAUACUAGUUUCAUAAUUUCACUGUUUAUCUCACAAUGCUAUCCAAUUCUCUAGUUAGAAUGUCACCAAGUUCACUAUUGUCAAAGUCCAUGCAUUCAUAGGGUUCUAUGUCCACAUUCUAUGUUCAUAUGUUCUUACCAUCAAUAAGAAUUCACACGUUCAAUAUCACUCGCAUAAUGCCAAUGCCCAUACCCUAUAAUGCAUAAAAACAGAAGUAAAUAUGCUCAAUGAAUAGCAUAGACAUAAAGGGUGAUUCAAAGACUUCGGAUAGCACCACCCACCUGUAGUGGUGUCAAUCAACUAAGAUCAGGGUCUCGAAAAGCGUCGACAACUUUCUCUCGCGACUCCGUGCAAAUAGAACUAGAACGGCCUCUACCGUAAUUAGCGCGUCGUCGACCUGUUGGAAAGUCAAUUUAGACUCUUGGGCAUGUUUACUUUUCACUUAUAAAGGAUUAGAAAAGAUUAAACUAGAGUCAUCGCUCAUAAUUUACAAAUUAGCAUUUCAAUGCUAUAGAAAGCGGCAACUAUAGCCGAAAAUCUUCUUUUGGCGAUAUCUUUGCGUAGGUUCGUCGGAUUGCCGAACCGACUUCGCCAACGCGUUUCUUUUGCCCUCAAUUUGGUUUAUACGCGGUCAAUUUCACUUUAGGACUCUUAUUUUGCAAAAGUGCCUUGCCGGGGUCAGUUUUCUCAAAAAUACUAUUUCAAUGCAAUUUCACAAUUCAAUAGAGUAAUUCAACUCUUUAUUAGCCCAAGGACCUCAAAUCAGUUAGUAAAAACUGUCUAAAUACUUCGAUUCAUCUUUCACUCUAUUUCAUUAUCUUUCUUUCUUGCUUUCUUUUCUUUUCUUUCCUUUCUUUUCUUUCUUUUCUUUUCUUUCCUUUCUUUUCUUUCUUUUCUUUCCUUUCUUGCUUGCUACCCCUGCAGGGCAGCUGCUGCUGCUGCCACUGCUGCUGCGCAUGCUGCUGCUGCUGAGCUGCUGCUCAGCUGCUACUCCAGCAGCUGCUGCUGCUGAUGCCACUGCUGCUGGCUGCUGCUGCUGAAGCUGCUGCUGCUAGUUGCAGCUGCUGCUGCUGAUUGCUGCAGCUGCUGCUGCUGAAGCUGCUUGCACUGCUGCUGCUGCUGCUGCUGGCGCAGGCUGCUGCUGAUGCUCCUCUAGCUUGCAGCAGUAGCAAAGAUUGGUGCUGCUGCUGCUGUUUUCAGCAGUAGGGAAACGAAAAAGAGGGAGGGGGAANGGCUGCUGCUGAUGCUCCUCUAGCUUGCAGCAGUAGCAAAGAUUGGUGCUGCUGCUGCUGUUUUCAGCAGUAGGGAAACGAAAAAGAGGGAGGGGGAAAGUCAGCAAAGAGAGGGAGAAAAAGGAAUACCUUUCUUUCAUUUUUUUCUCCUUUUUCUUCAUCUGCUUCUUCUUCUUCUUCUUCUUCUCUUCUUCUCUUUUUCUCUCCUUCUCUUCUCCUUCUCUCUCUCUCUACGUAUGGCUAACAGGGAGAAGGGGAUAAGUAUGGAGGCUCCCUGUCAGCAGGUUAGUGGAAAUCCACUAAGCCAUGGGUUAAUUACCAUAAUGCCCCUCGACUUAUCCGUUUAGUCGCACGGAUUAGAUACCUUUCGCAGGCUCUUCUAAAUGUCCGAUUGAGCUCAAAUUUGACAGGUAUGUUCGGUUUUACUUAACAAGUCCAAACAAAUUUUAACAUUUCAGUUCCGACCCCAUUUGGUCACUGCGAACUGUCCCGAACUGUAAUCUUCAUCAGAUAACUUUCGGAUGCUAUUUCUCUCUCUACAGGUGUCAGAAUAAUAUGAAACUUGAAAUCUGGCCUCAUACCAAUGUCCCUGACAUCUCCGCCAAUUUUCAUAAUUUUCUGACACUGUGCAUUUUCUGCUAAUUUCUCAGUCCCAUUCUUUACAGAAAAUUUCAAAUCUUCUGUUUUUGCUCCGAUUUCAACACGAACACUUCCAAAACAUGCCAAGGGACUUUCACAAGCUACUAGUUUAAUUUGGAAGCAAUUCCUUUUCAUUUUGACAUCAUAUGGUUCAUUUCGACCAAAUCGACUACAAAAUUCAGCAUUCGAGUUACAAUGGCAAUUGGAGUUCUUUUGUCACUUCGUUUCCACUUGUAUCUAUUCCCACACUUCCAAAGUGUGCCAAUGACUGAUCUCAAGCUUCUAAUUCAGUUUAGAAGUCUCUAAUAUCCAUUUUAGCAUUAUUGUGCCCACUUUGAUCACAAUUAGCUUCUAAUCAAGUUUCAGUCUAUUACAGACCGGUCACUGGUAGGGAGAGACCGGUCCCCGUAGCCCGAAUCUGCCCAAGUUGGGUUGUGUCAUGUUGACAAAGUGCAGGGGUUUUUAUGCAAUUGUAGCAUGAGUUAGGGGUAUAUGAGAGGGUGAGCUCUCUCUCUUUCUCAUUUCUCUCCCAAGCUUAACCCUGACUCCCUCUCUCUCUCUAUAUUCUCUUCCUCUCUCUCUAGAAGGUGAAGAAGAGAAGGGUUUUGGUGGAGAAUCAAGCAAGGAGAAGGAUCUUCGUUGUCUUCUUCUUCCUCUUCACCCUUGGAGCAAGCUUUUGGAGGUAAGCUUCUAGGCUCAACUAUGGUGAACUUCUAGGGUUUAGGUCUUUGAGCUCUAGAAUGGUUUAGUUGAAACUCUAGCAUGCUAAAUAGAUGUUAUAGUACAUGAGUUGGAGGUUUAGCGAUGGAUUCUUCCAUGAUUGCAAGUUAGGGCUCCAAAAAUGGGGUUUUGUGAUUUGUUGGGUAUUUAUCUCAAUUGAUCAAGUGUAAACCUAACUAUUAGGUGUUUAAAUGCGUAGGCGAAGACGGUUCGACGAUUCGUCGAGCGGGUGCAAAGUUAUUGGCAAAAAGGACCUUUCAAGCUUCGUUUCCGCCUGGUAGGCCGAGACGACGUCGUAAAAUCGCCGAACUUCAUUCCAAGAGUCGUGACAACGCCAGAAGGUGGGUGGUGUCAUCCCGAAGCAACUGGGCUCCUCUUUAUGUCUUAGUGCAUUUUAAAUCUUGCAUCUCUUGCAUAUAUACAUUGUAAGAUAAUGUGCAUUCCAUUCCCUUAUGCUUUCCUAGAUGAUAUCAUAGUGUGAGUUGAAUGCUUGAUAUAGUGGAUAGAUAAGGAUUGAGUCGAGACAUUGAAUCCUAUAGUUUUGAGAUAAGAGAUGGACUCGAUGGGUGACAAAAGACAUAACGAGUGGCAUGUAAAUAACAAUGACAACAGAACGAGUGGCAUGUAACUUAGUGUAUAGAUGACACUUGAUAUGUGAACUUAGGGAUAGGUGGAUUCCCUAGAGAUGAGUCAUUGAACAAGAACCUGUAGUUAAACACUUGCAUAUGGACUUUGGGAUAGGUGGAUUCCCGAGUGAUUGUUAGCCCUAGUGAAUAGGGUAUCCCCGAGUUGAGAGGAUUGGAUCAUACUCGUUGUCUGUUCAGAACUUGUGUUGGUCGCUCCUCACAAGUGUGCGCUCCGGAGUUUUGUCACAUAAGGGAUAGCCUUAUGGGAUCCCUGGGAUAGCCUUAUGGGGUCCCGCAGACGGUCUCGGGUUUGUGAACGAGUUGAGUUUCCUUACCAUGAUAUGCAUGUGAGUCGUGGGCGAACCUUAGGGUUGGCCAAGGAUUGGAUAAGCUAAAAGAAUUGAUGAACAAGUAAAGAACAUUACUUCUUGGACAUAGUGGCAUGUUAGUAAACCAUUUACUAUAUGAUGCAUGCAUACAUUAUUGAUGAUUGGGCAUAGUAGCAUAGUUUUCCUACUAUCGUAUUUACAGCUUUGAUAUCUAUCUACCUAUCUAUCUGCUUGUGCCCACUUGGACCUAGUGGGAGAUCGGCGGAGUCGGCGGCCGAACCCACUGGGAACAAUGGACAAUAGUUCUUACCCCACUUUGUUGCAAGGCCGAGUACGAGCGCUCCGGGCGAGGACCGCGGUAAGGGCUUAGCGCCCUAGCAUUAGUAUCCCUCCAGUUGCAUUAGAGGUACCUACUUAUAUGAGAGUAGACGAUGUAUAGGUUGUGAGACGCAUUUUGGAGAGAUAUGAAUGAACUUGUACUUAUGUUUUGGACGAGCAAAAUGUAAAUCAAUUGUAUAAAUGGGCAAAUUGUGAUGUAAUAGAUAGAACUCUCUCUUUUUGCACUUGUAUAUAUACUUGUGUUACUUGCUCUUGUUGCUAUGCACUUGUGGUGCCUCUGUUGUUAUUGUAUGGAUCAUGUAUGUAUUGAAUUGUUCCUGGGCGAAUUCUUGUACAUGAUCCCGCGGUUGAGCCUUGGGCGGACAGGGGAGGUGCUGUCCGUUCGGCGUCUGUUCGACGCACCCGAACCGGACCAAAUGGGUAGCGGUCUCGGGGCGUGACAUUAACUUUUCAGUUUGGACCAUGUUUAGUCACCGAAAGCUCUACCGAACUGUAAUCUCUAGUAGAUAGCAGUCGGAUUUUAUUUUCCACCUUCCUGGUGUCGGAUUUAUAUGAAACUUUUAAUCUAGCCUCAUAAAAAUAAUCCCGUCAUAUUCCCAAGUUUUCAUAAUUUUUUGAUACUGUGCAUUUUCUGCUAAAAUAUCAGCCCCGUUUCUCACAGAAAAUUCUAAAUCUUCUGUUUUCAUUUCGAUUUCAGCACAAGUCAUUUCCGACUUAUAUUUUACUUCUCUAAAUCCAAUAAAAAUAGUAUCUCACACUAUUUUUAUUUAUUUUUACUUUUAUAUUAAAAUCUGAUAUAUUACAGGUGUGUUUGCUCAUUUAACGGUAUAGAAGGGUUCAAAUCAACUAAAUUUUUGUUAAAAAAUUCUUUAAACUAUUUAAAAUAAGAUCUAGACUCUAGAUCUAAAUAUAAAAAUUGUAUCAUCAUUUUUUAAAGGAUAUUCAUUUCCAACCAUUCAUUUUUCUAUUCACUUGAUGAACAAGAGAACAAUAUCGAAAAUGUGUAAAAUUUGAUUUUCAGNAUAUAUAUAUAUAUAUAUAUAUAUAUAUAUAUAUAGAGGUGAGUGGUCCAGUGUCGUGGUCCACAAGCUCUUACAUGAGCUCGUGGACCCCGAUGCAAGGAAGCCCCAUGACCCGCGAUAGUUUUCGUUUUCCGUCGAGAUUCGGCGAAAAACGAAAAGCUGGCUUUUACAUGAAAUAUGUAAAAUAAUUUUUCCUGUACAAUUUUUUUACGUCGAACCAAACGCUAGAAAAAUGAUUUUCCACUGAAAAAAAUUUUUCCGACCAUUUUUACGGGGAACCAAACGCCCCCUUAGCGGCAGUAGAUAAAAUAAUGUCAUAUUUAAAAACUAAAAAACCAAUAAGCAUUAUUUAUGUACUUUUAAAAGCACACAAACUGAAUUUUUUUGUUGACUUAAUUUCAUAAAAAUUUCCGUAAAUAUAGUGAAUGACAAAUAUAUUCUUACAAAGUUCAACUUUUAUAUAUUAUUUCUAUAAAAGUCUACGAUAUUUUCAAAUAUGCCACUCUGUUUUAUUAUCGUUAGAGAACUGUUUAUAUUUUUAAUUUUGCAAUUACAAAUAUAUUUUUCUGAAAGUCAUAACAAUAUAAUAUAAAGGGGUAAAAAUAUCAAAAACUAACCAGAAUUAAAUAUUUAAUCUAUGAUUAGUUAAAAUUUUCUAACGGAUUCUAACGACAGUGAUAUAUUUGAAAACACCAGAAUUUUUAUAGGAACAAUAUAUAAAAGUUAAACUUUAUAGGAAUAUAUACGUCAUUUACUAUAUUUGCACAGAUCUGGAUUAAAUUAAUUUUUUUUUACUGCAACAAAAAAAAAAAAGAAAGAAAAAGUGAGGAUACUCAUCAGUGGGGCAUUUGAUCGAACAGGUGACGUACCUCAAGUGUGGCGGCGUGGUGCUGGGCACGGCGAUGCACCACACCGUCAUCGACGCGCGCAGCGCCUUCCACUUCAUCUCCACCUGGUCCGCCAUCGCGCGCGGCGGCGGCGGCGCCGACCUCCCCCCGCCCCCCUUCCUCGACCACACCCUCCUCCGCGCCCGCUCCCCCCCCGUCGUCCUCUUCGACCACCCCGAGUACAAGCCCACCCCUAACCCUAACCCCAACCCUAAUCCUAAUUCAAGCCCCAACCCCAACCCUUCGUCGACCCCCGCGCCCUACGCCAGCGCCAUCCUCAGGCUCUCCCAGGCCCAGGUCGACGCCCUCAAGGCGCGCUGCUGCUGCGGCGGCGGCGGCGGCGGCGGCGCGCGGGUGUCGGCGUUCCGCGCGAUCGUGGCGCACGUGUGGCGGUGCGUGUGCGCCGCGCGCGGGCUCGCGCGCGGCGCCGAGACGCGGCUCUACACGAUGGUCGACGUGCGCGCGCGCCUCGCCCCGCCGCUCCCCCCCAACUACUUCGGCAACGCCGUCCUCCGCACCUCCGUCGCCGCCGCCGCCGGCGAGCUCGCCGACGCCCCGCUCGGCUCCGUCGCCCGCCGCCUCCGCGCCGCCACGAGCCCCGGCGACGACUACGCGCGCUCCCUCGUCGACUACCUGGACGCCGUCGACAUGGAUCGGCUCCCCCGAAGUGGGUUACCGGGAAACGACUUACGCGUCAUCAGCUGGAUGGGCAUGUCCAUUUACGACGCCGACUUCGGCUGGGGCGAGCCCGUUUUCAUGGGCCCCGCGCUCAUGUACUACGCCGGCUUCGUGUACUUGAUGACCAGCCCCGGUAAAGUCGGCGGCGUAUCCGUCGCCGUCUCCUUGGAGCCCGACACGUUGCCGACUUUCAAGAAGCUGCUCUUCCAGGAGCUCGGAGGGGUACAAGGGUAAAUUCAUAAAGCCAAUUAUUAAUAUAUAUAUUUAUAUUUAUAUAUAUAUAUCUAUAUAUCCCCUAAAACUGGAAUUGCAUUUCCAUUUCCUUUUUUUACUUGGGUUUUUGUUUUUGUUACUCGAGUAAAGAGUCGUUCCCGAUGACGACGGACCAUCUGAAUCGACGAUCGGCGCCGCUGAAUAUAAUCUGUCAUAGCAGGUUAAUUUAUUACGAUGAUAAUACAGAUCUUAUAAUAUUUAAUUUGUGUGUUUCGUAUUAAGUUGGUGCUCUAGGCUCAUAAGUGGAAUUAGUUGGAAGGGCCUAAAAUUGUCCCGGGUGUAGAUGGUUGUUGGGUGAUACAAAUCAUGGUCCCAUAAAUAUAUAUUUGCAUAAAUAAUACUUUUAUUAUCAGGCGAUCGUUUAGGUGGCGUUUUUAAGUUUAACUCGAUGAUUUAUUUUUUUUAUAUUUUUUAUUAUUUUUAUAUUAAAAAAAUAGACUAAAAUGUGAAUAUAAAUACGGUGAUUGAAUCACCAUAUUCAAUUUAAAAUUGUCAACAUGGUUCUCGCGUGAUAAAAAGAUAAUUAUAUAUGCAAAUAUAAAUUUGCUAUGAUUAUUUAUAAAAAAAGAAAAUUUUGAGUGGGCUACAUAUAAAAAAAAAUCCAUAAAAAAUAAAUAAAAAAGUUUGGUAUGAAGUAAUUUUUGACCAUAAAUAUUUAUUUUUAUUGUUUGCUUUGUUAUAAUUUUACUUGUGAUCGAAACUUAAACUCUUAAAAAUGACAUCAUACCAAAGUAAAUUAUAAAAAGAAAAGUGAGAGAAAAAAUAUUAAAUUAUUUAUCAAACCUUCGAUUUUACGUUAUUCACUUUCUAUCAUACAAACAACAUAAUUUAAAAAAAAAAAAGAUUAAAAUAAGAUUUUUGAUAAACACAUGAUAGCUAAGUAUAAUUUUUAAACCAUAGAAUGACAAAGUAAAAAUGAGUUAAACUAUAGAAUAUUUGAAUAUAAUUUUUUAAACUAUAUGAUAAUAAAGUAAAAAUAAUCUAAGCUACAGGGAGCAAAUUAAAGUUUAUCCUAAUGAAAAUUACCUAUGGCAUUCUAUCUCAAAAAAAAAAAAGAAAAAAGAAAAAAAAGUACAAAACAAAACAAAAAAAAUGAGUGUGUAAUUGUUUGGGAUUUGCUUUUAAUUGUGUUUCCAGCUGUAUUUUUCACCUGAUAAAUAGAAAAUAUAAAAAGUUUCUAAUUCAGCAGAAAAAUAGAAAUAAGAUUUUAAGUCUAAAGUUUUACUUCUUAAAAAUGUUUUUUUCAAAAUAUAAGUACCUGUUCUAUAGAGGGAAAUUGUUUUUUUUUUUUUUCUGUUUCCUUUCUUUUUCCAUGCAAUGUUUUCAAUAUUUAUAAUGUACGCAAAUAUUUAAAAUGACAUAAAUGUUCGAGUAUUUAUUUUUUGUAUAUUGUGCAGCGCCUUCUUAUUUUCUCUCAUGUAUGUGUGUACAUUUAUAGUAUGUUACUUACAAGGUGUAUGUAUUCGUAUAUGGUAUUUAUUUACUCACGCUGGUCUCUUUACUUCAUAUAUAUUUUCACUAUGCUAUCAAUAUUUCCUAUUAAAUUUGUGUAUUUGUGUGACACCUCAAUAGUUUUAUAUUGGAUGAAAAUAGAAUUACGAUUGGAAAUAUAAGAGAUUAUGAUCCUAAUAAUAAUAACUGAAUUUAAAUAUUUUGAGCUGGUGGUUUAGGUUAUGUCUAUUAAUUCUCUGAGAGCCACCAAUAGAAUCAUCUAAUAUCACCAGCUAAUUCUCUAAUUUUAGUCUAUAUGUGUGAACUAAGAAUAUAUAUAUGUGAUUUUGGUCUCACAUGGCCUUCUAAUUCUCUAAUUUUGGUCUAUAAAUGUGAUUAUCCAAAAAUCUCACAUUGCCCCAUAAGUUUAAUCUAGAGUUUGGUGGGAGCCAUUUUUUAAAUUCACAAGAGCCACCUCAAAAUUUUCAUAUUGCCUACUAUGUUUGGUCUAUAUGUGUGACUGCUCUAGAAUAUCAUAUUGUCUAGUAAUUUUGGUUUAUAUGUGUGAUUAGGUUUAGAUAAUGUGAGUCACCUUUUAAACCGGCAGGAGCUGUCUCUAAAACCAUGAAUUAGUUAUGAGCCAUAUCUUAAACCCGCAGGAGCUACCUCUAAAAUUUCAUUUCUCUUGCAAAUUUUGGUCUAUAUAUAUGAUUACUCUAAAAUCUCACAUUGCUUGAUAAUUCUAGUGUAGAGUUUGGUGAGAGCCACUUAUUAAAUCCACAAGAGCCAUCUUUAUAAUCUCACAUCGCUUGCUAAUUCUGGUUUAUAUGUGUGGUUACACUAGAAUAUCACAUUGCAUAGUAAUUCUAGUCUAUAUAUGUGACUAAGUUUAGGAUUGACGAGAAUGUCGGAGUCUAUCUGGAGGGAGUCUGUAAUGUCUCAAUAAUUUCACAAUUUAAGCCUAAUGAGAACAUCAGGGUCCAAUUGGUGAGAGUCUAUAACACGAAUAAUUUCACAGAAUAGAAAAUAGAUUGUGAUUGAAAUAUAAGAGAUCAUACUGACCGUCCCUAGAGCAAGUGGCAAAGGACUUUGUGGUUGGUACCCGAGGUCCCAAGUUCGAAUCCUAGUUGAUUCACAUUGUCAGCUAAGUUUAUUUCUAAAUGAAAUAAACGAAGCGGAUAGCGUGCUACCUAUCUCUCAAAUAUGUAUGUAUAUAUAUAUAUAUAUGUGUAUAUAUAUACAUAUAUGUAUGUACGUAUAUGUAUAUAUAUGUAUGUAUAUGUAUAUAUAUGUAUGUAUAUGUAUAUAUAUACAUAUAUGUAUGUAUAUGUAUAUAUAUGUAUGUUUAUGUAUAUAUAUAUAUAUAUGUAUAUGUAUAUAUAUAUAUAUAUAUAUGUAUAUGUAUAUAUAUAUGUAUAUGUAUAUGUAUAUGCUUGUCUACUUAGCUCUUGCACCUCUCUUAUUUUCUGUUGGCUACUCUACGAUUUAUUCUCACCUAGGAUAUCCUAAUCUAGUUGUAGAGUAACAUUGAUUAUGAUUAGUUAUCAUGAUAUGACUACGGUAACAUGGUGUUACAUAGUGAUAUUAUAUAUUCGCUGCAUAAUAACUUUUCAUAUCUCGUACAUGGUGACUUGAUUACAUAGUCAUUAUAGGUCAGUGACAUGGUGACAUUCGUAUUCGUUACGUAGUGAUAUAUACCAUUGCAUGAUGACUUUUCGUACCUUGUACAUGGUGACUUGGUCAUAUAGACCUUAUAGGUCAGUGACAUGGUGACAUUUUCUUCGAAAACAGUGGACCUGAUUCGGUCGGACAUUUGUGAAUUACUUUUUCGGCUAGUUGCCGUUGUUGGCCAUUGAGCAUAUUAUAUCGAUUGCCACAGCUCGUGAGCAUCUUCAUGUACACCAGCGGUCUGAUCUACCGCAAGAAGGUAUUCUUUUCUAAAAAGUGGUCGUACUUCCGACCCGUGAGCCCUACAAGGUGCUUGUUAGGGUUAUAUGCCAGGUGGGCGAGCAAAAUGUGAUUUAGCCUGAGGUCUUUUGACCAAUACGCCAGUGGUUUUGGUUGUUGGUUUCGUUCACCCAGUUGAUGCAUUGGUGCGUUCUAUGGUUAGUUACUGUAGCAGAUAGUUAUAUACCGAUUAGAAGUUGCAGUUCCUUCCUAGUCAUUAUUGCUACUAUUCUAAUACACAUGUUGAUUAUACUCAGUUGUUGAUUCCUACUUUAUCUUACAGUAGCGGUAUUUUUGCAUAUACUACCUGCUAUUAUAUCAUUGCUACUGACCUUACGAUAUCUGUUCAUUACUUUGAUUAUCUCUUCCUUUGCCGAUGAGUACCCCUCGCCUUUGUCGGCUUGCGAUACCCACUGGGAGGGGAGACAUGUUUACAUGUUCUCACCCCCCACCAUUUUUCAGGUGAUGCGGGCAGUGAGGGUCGGGUGGUGCAUAAGGACAAUACUAAAUAGCCGCGUUCCAGAUCCGUCUGUUGUUGACGUUUACUAUAAUUCGGUUGGAUUAGUUUAGUUCUUUACCUAACAAUGUUUAAAUAUAAUCAAGGUAUGUGAAUCAUAGUUUUCAUAUGAUCAUUACAUUAUUUGUAUUGUGUGGUUGUAUUUGUGGUUGACUAUGUUUUGAGUUGCUACGCCGUAUAUGUACAAGGGAGACUCUGUCCGUCUAUACAGGGCAUCCUUUGUCCAUGUGGUGGGUCUGUGUGCAUUCGCGGGGUGUUCUCAAAGGUGUUAAAAAAAAAAAUUUAGAGGUUUUCCACUAGCUUUCCUUAAAAAAAAAUUCAAAUUAAAAGAUUCCCAGGGCGUGACUUUGUGUAAGGAAGUGAAUUCUCGAAAUCCGAGAGUUGGACUUCGCUCAGAAUCGACUAAUUGUCGAGAAGAUAUGCUUCGGAAAAGCCGAAGAAGUCAGAAAACCGAAAAGUGCAUUGGCGAGGGCCUCGAAGAGCAAAGGAAUGGAAAUCUGCAACUUUACAGAUUUUGCUCUCGGGGACCGGUCCAUGGUGGGAAGGACCGGUUCCCGUAAGCCUGGUAUGCAGCAGAAAAUCUCUGCGCACAAAGUUUGCUCUCGGGGUCUUGUCCCUCGUGGAGAGACCGGUCCCUGAAGGUCCGGUCCCUCAGGCUAGGACCGGUCCCCGUACGCGUGGAAAAUGGAUCAGGGUGUCCUGCGAGAGAUCUGCUCUCGGGGACCGAUCCCUCUGGGGGAGAGACCGGUCCCCGUGUGCGUGAGAGGCAGCUGCAAGCUGCUGCAUGAAGAGCAAUGCUCUCGGGAACCGGUCCCUGGCUAGAAAUACCGGUCCCUGAGCGCGAAAAUGGCCCAGUCUGGGCAGUGUGAGAGAGACAAAGUGGAGGGACUCUAAUGCAAUUGUCGCAUUAGUUGAGGGUAUAGAUGGGAGACCAGUCUCUCCCUCUCUCAUUUUCACACCCCACUCUCUCUCUAAGCUCUCUCUCUCCCUCUCUCUUGAAGUGAGGAAGGAGAAGAAGAAAAGGAAGAAGAAGAAGGUAAAGAAGAAGGAGAGCAAGCAAGAGAACACUUUGGUCAUCUUCUUCUUCCUCCUCUUCACCAUUGGAGCUUGCUUAGGAGGUAAGCUCAUGAGCUCUGUCACGCCUCGAGCUCCAUUUUUAGUUUCAAAACACAGCGGAAGGGUCUAUUUUUUUUAAAAAAAAAACCUGACCCCCAUAGUAUGCCAGAUCCGCCACAAAUACAGGGAGCCCAUUGUUCACACGGACAGAGUCUCCCAUGUAUUUGCACGGCGUCGCACGAGUACAAAAAUAUAACCAGGAUACAACCACUAUCACUGAACAUACAAAUAUCCAUACAUUCGUACAUCCAUACACCAUUCACCACAGGUUCAUAUACAGAGAUUUGAACAUAAAUCCAGAUUUAUCAGUUGAAAUGUUUCCUACCCGGAAACUCAUUUUGAAAUACUACUUUAUGAAAACCACAAGAAAACCUUUUCAAAACUGUUUCCAACACGGAAAUCUUUUUCUUUUUAAAACACGCUACCACGAGGGGUAGAAAACCGUUUUCAUCUAAAAAAAAACCAUAAGUUCUUUAAUUUAUUUACUAAAAUCACAUUUAUUCAAUUAAACAAAAACCAACUGAACCAAUAUAUCAAAGAUAUAACAACAGAAAUAAAAAGGCUAGCAACUAAACUAAACCAACCGGGUCGGAAGCUCUAUUGACCGCUACGAACGUGUCUCACAUCUCGUCUCAACCCUCACUGCCCGCAAUGCCUGAAAAAUGGUGGGGGAGGUAAGAACAUGUAAACAUGUCUCCCCUCCCAGUGGGUACCGCAAGCCGAAGAAGGCGAGGAGUACUCACCGGAUUAGGAAGAGAUAAAUAACAUGGGUAAGUGAAAUACAGUAGCAACGAUAAUGAACGAAUGAGAUAUAUAUAUAUGAAAGAACAACUACCGCUACUGUAACGAAGAACUGAAAGCAUACAAGGAUAUCAAAACUAUAGUAGCAAGACAACUGUAAAGAAAGACUAUAAGUAUACAUGCAACAACCGCUACUAUAGCUAUAUGCAUCAACCGGACGAGAAGUCCAAAUAUACCCAAUCUGAAAACUUGGCCCUGUUGGUCCGCACGGCAGACCUCAAGCCUGUCACGCCCCACCCCGAAUCCACUACCAAUUUGGCACGGUUCGGGCGCGCCGGACGGACCGCCGAACGGACAGCACCUCUCCUAUCCGCCCAAGGCUAAACACCCAGAUCAUGUACAAAUAAGCGCCCAGGAAAUGCUUAGAUAACAUACACGAUCGAUAAGAUGCACACAAGUGCAAUACAUCUAAGAGCAAGAACCACAAGUAGAUACAAGUGUAUAAAGAGAGAUAGUCUAACUAUUACAACCAUUCAACAUUUGAAUAUAUUACAUUUUCAACUUCCAAAUGCAAGUACAUGUUUUCCUCAAAAUAUAAGUAGCUCUCUAAUAACCAUCCAAAACAUCAUCUAGUACACGAGGGUACUCUAAUGCAUAAAGGAAAAGCUACUAUCUAAGCUCACUUAGGGCGCUAUGCCCUUGCCGCGGUCCUCGCUCGACUCGCCUCUGUGUGUACCUGUACCCCAAAACCACACGGGGUGAGAACUAUAUAAAUAUAGUUCCCAGUGGGUUCGGCCGCCGACGCCGCCGGUUUUCCCACUAGGUCUAAGCUGGCACAGAUAGAGAGAUAGAUAGAUAUAUAGAGAAUGAACUGCAACUACUCUAUCAUGCCAUCAAUGAUAAUAAUGCAUGAAACAACUACUAUCAUGCUAGUAUCAUGUCAUAAGUAUAGAAAAGUACAUAACAAUGCAAACUGCAACAUACACUAUGUCUACUCAAGGUAAUAAUGCAAAUCUACUAUGCAUUUCAUGUUUAUUACCCAAUCUACUUGGCUAACCCGUAGGUUAAACCCUCGACUCACUCUCAAUCUCAUAGGUGAGGAGAAGCUGCACUCGCACACUGAGACCGUCUGCGGGACAACUACGUCUGCCCCUA